rnacentral:lncRNA from 1 species
AGAGGGUCCUCCGCGGAAGGGCAGCUGAAUGGACUCCAGAGCAGCCUUAACCCUGCAGCCUUUGUGCCCAUCACCAGCUCUACAGAAUGUUGCCAGAAGAUACUACCAGGGCUGCCCAGAUCAGUUGGAAAGGCCUUAGGGACAAAUCUUUAAGAGAUCCUGCUCACACUAAAAUAUGAACCACAAACACACAGAGAAACAACCUGUUCACCACUCCUGGGUGCAUGAUUGAGGGUGAAGCAUCCACCAGCACUUCAAGGGGUCCAUAGUAUUUUUUUUUUUGCUGCCUCAAAGUCCCCAAAGCCUUCGAGCAGAAGUGGCAGUAGAUGGUUGCCAAUCAGCCAAUGCAGACUUUCACUGGGACAACAAGAAAGCAGAUCUUCUGGGUUUUGAUGGAACUUGGCAGUGGGGACAUUCAGCUGAUGCAUUAUAUACCCCGUCAGAGCACACUUGUAUCUUUUACCUUCCCUUUGCCCCAUGCCCCCAAACUGCUUAGGUCUUCUCUGUCCCUUUACUGCUGCUGCACAGAGAUGAUAUAAAAGAGGCUCUUUGGCUA